rnacentral:rRNA from 1 species
AGUGAACGCUGGCGGUAGGCCUAACACAUGCAAGUCGAACGGCAGCACAGUAAGAGCUUGCUCUUACGGGUGACGAGUGGCGGACGAGUGAGGAAUACAUCGGAAUCUACUUUUUCGUGGGGAAUAACGUAGGGAAACUUACGCUAAUACCGCAUACGACCUACGGGUGAAAGCAGGGGAUCUUCGGACCUUGCGCGAUUGAAUGAGCCGAUGUCGGAGUAGCUAGUUGGCGGGGUAAAGGCCCACCAAGGCGACGAUCCGUAGCUGGUCUGAGAGGAUGAUCAGCCACACUGGAAGUGAGACACGGUCCAGACGCCUACGGGAGGGAGCAGUGGGGAAUAUUGGGCAAUGGGCGCAAGCCUGAUCCAGCCAUACCGCGUGGGUGAAGAAGGCCUUCGGGUGGUAAAGCCCUUUUGUUGGGAAAGAACAGCAGCAGGUUAAUACCCCGCUGUUCUGACGGUACCCAAAGAAUAAGCACCGGCUAACUUCGUG